CACUCCUGCGGGAGGCAGCAGUGGGGAAUUUUGGACAAUGGGGGCAACCCUGAUCCAGCAAUGCCGCGUGAGUGAAGAAGGCCUUCGGGUUGUAAAGCUCUUUUGUCAGGGAAGAAACGGUAGUAGCGAAUAACUAUUACUAAUGACGGUACCUGAAGAAUAAGCACCGGCUAACUACGUGCCAGCAGCCGCGGUAAUACGUAGGGUGCAAGCGUUAAUCGGAAUUACUGGGCGUAAAGCGUGCGCAGGCGGUUGUGUAAGUCAGAUGUGAAAUCCCCGGGCUCAACCUGGGAAUUGCAUUUGAGACUGCACGGCUAGAGUGUGUCAGAGGGGGCUAGAAUUCCACGUGUAGCAGUGAAAUGCGUAGAUAUGUGGAGGAAUACCGAUGGCGAAGGCAGCCCCCUGGGAUAACACUGACGCUCAUGCACGAAAGCGUGGGGAGCAAACAGGAUUAGAAACCCUAGUAGUCCCAUGA
rnacentral:rRNA from 1 species